CGGGGUGCAGCAGGCGCGAAAACUCUACAAUGCAGGCAACUGCGAUAGGGGAACAUCGAGUGAUCCUCAUAUUGGGGGUCUGUCCACCCGUCUAAAAAACGGGUGUUAGCAAGGGCCGGGCAAGACCGGUGCCAGCCGCCGCGGUAAUACCGGCGGCUCGAGUGGUGGCCGAUAUUAUUGAGUCUAAAGGGUCCGUAGCCGGCUUUGCAAGUCUCUCGGGAAAUCCAGCGGCUUAACCGUUGGUCGUCCGGGGGGUACUACAUUGCUUGGGACUGGGAGAGGUAGGAGGUACUCAGGGGGUAGGAGUGAAAUCCUGUAAUCCUUUGGGGACCACCGGUGGCGAAGGCGUCCUACCAGAACAGGUCCGACGGUGAGGGACGAAAGCUAGGGGCACGAACCGGAUUAGAUACCCGGGUAGUCCUAGCCGUAAACGAUGCUCGCUAGGUGUCACAACAGUCGUGAACUGUUGUGGUGCCGUAGGGAAGCCGUGAAGCGAGCCACUUGGGAAGUACGACCGCAAGGUUGAAACUUAAAGGAAUUGGC
rnacentral:rRNA from 1 species